CAGCAGCAGCCACGGUAAUACGGAGGGGGCUAGCGUUGUUCGGAAUUACUGGGCGUAAAGCGCACGUAGGCGGCUUUGUAAGUUAGAGGUGAAAGCCUGGAGCUCAACUCCAGAAUUGCCUUUAAGACUGCAUCGCUUGAAUCGCGGAGAGGUGAGUGGAAUUCCGAGUGUAGAGGUGAAAUUCGUAGAUAUUCGGAAGAACACCAGUGGCGAAGGCAGCUCGCUGGCCUGUAACUGACGCUGAGACGCGAAAGCGUGGGGAGCAAACAGGAUUAGAUACCCGAGUAGUCCCUGUCUCUUAUAC
rnacentral:rRNA from 1 species